ACCCACUCCGCUCCCGCUGCGGGGCCGGCACAGUGCGGCGCAACGCUCGCUUGGUGACCGGCGCCGUGGAUCUCCGGGCAGGGCUGCGGCAUCCCGACAGGAUGCCCUCCCCGAGCCCUGGCGCAGAACGUUCUGCGGGACAACCCUGUCAAGAGGGUCCUCGGGACGGGAGGGGCGGGGAAGCAAGCUGAGGACUACGGUUCAAACGAGAGCCGUGCUUCCCUCCUGGCAUCCGCUCCCCAGGAAGCGGGACGCACCCGUCGCUGCACGACCAUCCUGCAGUCCUUCCCACCGUGGCGGUGCCGACGCUCUGGCACCGCCUGGGUUUGGAGCUCUCUGAGCCGUGGUGCUGGGUGUUUUGACUGUGGGAAUGCUAGUAAACCUGUUCACCACAGUGCUGUAAUUGCCUCUACUGGUGGCGUUAGGCAAUGAAAUCAGACAGUGGUGAGAGAUUUCCUCUGGACGUUCAUUUCAACCUCUGUAGAAAUUCUCUUCAGACAAAAUGGAGAUCAUAGGAUCAUAGAAUUCUUAGAAUUGGAAGGGGCCACCGAAGGCCAACUCUCCUGCAAUGAACAGGGACACCAAAUUUCUGCCUUUAUAAUUAGCAGUGAUAAUGUUUCUUACAGGAUCUCUCUAAAUCAUACUUGAUUGCUACGAACUCUUAAAAUUAGUCCUGUUCAUUAGGAGAGAGGUAAAAGAAUCUAGAAAGUAACUGCAGAAAAGGCUCUGGGGGUCUUGCUGGACACCAAGUUGAACAUGAGCCAGCAACGUGCCCUUGCAGCAAAGAAGGCCAAUGAUAUCCUGGGCUGCAUCAGGAGUAUUGCCAGCCAGCUGAGGAAGGUGAUCCUUGGCCUUUGCUCAGCACUUGUGAGGCUAUACCUAGAGUUCUGUGUCCAGUUCUGGUCUCCCCAGUAUGAGGAACAUUAUGAAGAGAGCUGAAGAUGAUGGAGAUCCUGGAGCACUCCUCCUCUGAGGAAAGGCUGAAAGAGCUGGGAGUGCUUAGUCUGGAGAGAAGGCAGCUCAGAAGAGGUCUCACCAGUGUCUGUAAAUACCUACAGGGAGGAUUUGGAGAAGACAGAACCACUCUAAUAGUGUGCAAGACAACCUUCUAACAGUGCCAGGACACUUCAUAAAUGUGCCAGGACAAAAAGCACUGGGCAAAAAUUGGAAUACAGAGGGCUCCAUCCAAACACCGGGGAGCACUUCUGUGCUGUGCAGGUGAUGGAGCACUGGCACACGUCACCCAGAGAGGCUGUGGAGUCUCCUCCUUGGAGAUCUUGGAGAAGCUGCCUGGACAUGGGCCUGAGCAGCUUGCUCUCAGUGUCCUGCUCUUGAGCAGGAGUUGGACCAGGUGGACCAAGAAACCCCUACCAGCCUCAAACAUUCAGUGGUUCUGUUAUUCUGGGAUGUGAUAAUUUAGUAGAAUCAUAGAAUGGUUUGGAUUAGGGUUGGAAAGGACCUUAAAGAUCAUCCAGUUCCGGUUCAUAGCAGGGGGGUUGGGCUACCCAGGGUUCCAUCCAAUUUGUCUUUGAACAUUUCCAGGGAUGGGGCAUCCACAGCUUUUCUGGUCAGCCUGUGUCAGCGCCUUGCCAUCCUUUCAGUAAAAAUGUUCUUCCUUAUAUCCAGUCUAAAUCUACCCCUUUUUAGUUUUAAAACCAUUGUCCCUCGUUUUGUCAUUACUGGCCCUGGUAAAACAAGCAAUCAAACAAAAAACAACACCCUUUCUUCACCUUUCUCAUAGGCCCCAUCCGAAUACUGGAAAGCCACAGUCAGCUCUCCUUGGAUCCUUCUCUUCUCCAGACUGAACAAGCGCAACUCCCUCAGCCUUUGUAGGAGAGGUGCUCCAGUCCUCUAGCUACCUUCAUGACCCUUCUCUGGAUUUGCCUUUGUAGAUCCUUGUCUCUUUUGUUCUGCAGCUCCUGGAGCUGGAUGGGCCAGCCCUUGUAGGUUCGGAGUCACCUGACGAGGCAGAAAAAGUGAUUAAAUGUGCAUUUAAGCAUAUUUACAUGGAUGCACACCUUUGAGAAGCCUACUCUGUGGUAGUUAAGAAUCACAGAUGUUGAUUGCAGUGCCUACCUUGUUCUGUUACAACUGCUAUUUCUGUUGACAAAAAAGGUUAUGGUAUUUCUCAUUUGGGAAAUGAAGGUACUUGCAAUCCACCAUCCCCUGGUCUCUGAGAAGUGACCCAGCCUGAUGCAUAUAUAUCCAUCCUGCUUCAUUCCACCACUCCUUUCUAAGCCAGCAGCCUAAUAAUGAAGCUCUUCAUGAGACUGUGAAGCCAGUACCAGCAACAAUGAGUCUUCAUUAUUCCUGGAGAAGACUGGGGUGUUUGAUAUGCAUGAAGCUUUGUGCAGAUAGCUACGACUAUAAACUGCCAUUUGUUACUGUCAAACAAAUAAGUGUUACAACUAUUUAGAAGUGUUGCUCUUCUCUAGCAAGGGAUUUAUACUUGAAAAAUAAAACAAAAACUAAUUAGUACCUUAUCUUUUUUUUUUCCACCGAAAUGAAUGGAUUUUGGCUGAUGAACGGAAAUCUUGUUCCCUGUUACUGCUUACUCAAUGGGGUUGGAAAUGAUAAAGAAUUGGAUUGAUAUAAGUAACUGAGAUACUUACCUGUGACCUGAGACCUAGUCUGACGAAUCUUUUAGCUAUUUGCACAUAGAUACCAUGUUUGUAAAAUACACAAACUUGUCACAUAAUACAUAACUAUGUAUUUGUAGAUUUAAAAAAUAUAUAUACUUUGCAGAGACCCUACAAAUUGAAAAUGCUGAUCAUCUAUUUGGCUUUUUGUUAUGCAG
ensembl:lncRNA